AGAGCAGUGAUGAGCAGCUAACACGUAAGAAAAUGUCCCGAUUUGUUUGGGAAUUUUCGAUGAAAUACAAUUGUUACGCUUGGCUUCUGAGCACU